GUGGGGAAUAUUGGACAAUGGGCGAAAGCCUGAUCCAGCCAUGCCGCGUGUGUGAAGAAGGUCUUCGGAUUGUAAAGCACUUUAAGUUGGGAGGAAGGGCAGUAAGUUAAUACCUUGCUGUUUUGACGUUACCGACAGAAUAAGCACCGGCUAACUUCGUGCCAGCAGCCGCGGUAAUACGAGGGGUGCAAGCGUUAAUCGGAAUUACUGGGCGUAAAGCGCGCGUAGGUGGUUUUGUAAGUUGGAGGUGAAAUCCCCGGGCUCAACCUGGGAACUGCCUCCAAAACUGCAUGACUAGAGUACGGUAGAGGGUAGUGGAAUUUCCUGUGUAGCGGUGAAAUGCGUAGAUAUAGGAAGGAACGCCAGUGGCGAAGGCGACUACCUGGACUGAUACUGACACUGAGGUGCGAAAGCGUGGGGAGCAAACAGGAUUAGAUACCCGGGUAGUCC
rnacentral:rRNA from 1 species